rfam:Gossypium hirsutum cultivar TM-1 unplaced genomic scaffold scaffold755.1, whole genome shotgun sequence
UAUUAAAAAUUUCAUCUAUUUCUAUAGUUAAAAACUAACGUGAUUAAUAUAAUAAUCAACCGGUUACACUUGAUGCGCCACAUGUACUUCAUUCUGAUGUAUAUGAAUAAGUUUUUAGUUGUAAAAAUUAAUGAUUUUUUCAACA